GUGUCUGCCUCUAAACCAGUAAUUCUAAAACUUUAGCAUGCAUUGGAAUCACCUGCAGGGCUUAUUAAACCACAGGUU